rnacentral:rRNA from 1 species
GACGAACGCUGGCGGCGUGCUUAACACAUGCAAGUCGAACGGUAAGGCCCCUUCGGGGGUACACGAGUGGCGAACGGGUGAGUAACACGUGAGCAACCUGCCCUUGACUCUGGAAUAACAGUUGGAAACAGCUGCUAAUACCGGUUACGACCUGUCACCGCAUGGUGGUGGGUGGAAAGUUCCGGCGGUCAGGGAUGGGCUCGCGGCCUAUCAGCUAGUUGGUGAGGUAAUGGCUCACCAAGGCUUCGACGGGUAGCCGGCCUGAGAGGGCGACCGGCCACACUGGGACUGAGAUACGGCCCAGACUCCUACGGGAGGCAGCAGUGGGGAAUAUUGGACAAUGGGCGAAAGCCUGAUCCAGCCAUGCCGCGUGAGUGAUGAAGGCCUUAGGGUUGUAAAGCUCUUUACCCGGGAAGAUAAUGACUGUACCGGGAGAAUAAG